GACGAACGCUGGCGGCGUGCCUAAUACAUGCAAGUAGAACGCACAGUUUAUACCGUAGCUUGCUACACCAUAGACUGUGAGUUGCGAACGGGUGAGUAACGCGUAGGUAACCUGCCUGGUAGCGGGGGAUAACUAUUGGAAACGAUAGCUAAUACCGCAUAAUAUUGAUUAUUGCAUGAUAAUUGAUUGAAAGAUGCUAUUGCAUCACUACCAGAUGGACCUGCGUUGUAUUAGCUAGUAGGCGAGGUAACGGCUCACCUAGGCGACGAUACAUAGCCGACCUGAGAGGGUGAUCGGCCACACUGGGACUGAGACACGGCCCAGACUCCUACGGGAGGCAGCAGUAGGGAAUCUUCGGCAAUGGACGAAAGUCUGACCGAGCAACGCCGCGUGAGUGAAGAAGGUUUUCGGAUCGUAAAGCUCUGUUGUAAGAGAAGAACGGGUGUGAGAGUGGAAAGUUCACACUGUGACGGUAUCUUACCAGAAAGGGACGGCUAACUACGUG
rnacentral:rRNA from 1 species